UCGCUUGAGCCCAGGAGUUCUAGGCUGCAGUGCGCUAUGCCGAUCAGGUGUCCGCACUGAGUUCGGCAUCAAUAUGGUGACCUAUUGGGAGCGGGGGACCACCAGGUUGCAUAAGGAGGGGUAAACCAGCCCAGGUAGGAAACGGAGCAGGUCGAUACUCCCAAGCUGAUCAGUAGUGGGAUCGCACCUGUGAAUAGCCACUGCACUCCAGCCUGGGCAACAUCACGAGACCCUAAGAGCUGUCGAGAAGGGAAAGAACGAUAAGAAAUAAAUAAGGGGGG